UACGUAGGGGGCUAGCGUUGUCCGGAAUCAUUGGGCGUAAGGAGCGUGUAGGCGGCCCGGUAAGUCCGCUGUAAAAGUCAAAGGCUCAACCUUUGAAUGUCAGUGGAUACUGUCGGGCUAGAGUCCGGAAGAGGCGAGUGGAAUUCCUGGUGUAGCGGUGAAAUGCGCAGAUAUCAGGAAGAACACCUAUGGCGAAGGCAGCUCUCUGGGACGGUACUGACGCUGAGACGCGAAAGCGUGGGGAGCGAACAGG
rnacentral:rRNA from 1 species